rnacentral:rRNA from 1 species
AAACCAACAGGGAUUGCCUCAGUAGCGGCGAGUGAAGCGGCAAGAGCUCAGAUUUGAAAUCUCACCUAGUGUGCGAGUUGUAAAUUGCAGGUUGGAGUCUCGGGUUAGACGUGUGUGCAAGUCCCUUGGAACAGGGUGCCACUGAGGGUGAGAGCCCCGUAGCGUGCAUGUCGAUACCUGUGAGGCCCUUCUGACGAGUCGAGUUGUUUGGGAAUGCAGCUCUAAGUGGGUGGUAAAUUCCAUCUAAGGCUAAAUAUUGGCGAGAGACCGAUAGCGAACAAGUACUGUGAAGGAAAGAUGAAAAGCACUUUGAAAAGAGAGUGAAACAGCACGUGAAAUUGUUGAAAGGGAAGGGUAUUGGGCUCGACAUAGGGUAGUUUACGCAUCGUUGCCUCUCGUGGGCGGCGCUCUGGGUUUUCCCUGGGCCAGUCAUCGGUUUCGUGCAGGACAAGGACAAUUGGAAUGUGGCUCCGUCGGAGUGUUACU